UACGGGGGGGGCAAGCGUUGUUCGGAAUUACUGGGCGUAAAGGGCGCGUAGGCGGCCUUCUAAGUCGGACGUGAAAUCCCUCGGCUUAACCGAGGAACUGCGUCCGAUACUGAAAGGCUUGAAUCCGGGAGAGGGAUGUGGAAUUCCAGGUGUAGCGGUGAAAUGCGUAGAUAUCUGGAGGAACACCGGUGGCGAAGGCGGGUCUCUGGACAGUUCCUGACGCUGAGGCACGAAGGUCAGGGGAGCAAACGGG
rnacentral:rRNA from 1 species